rnacentral:rRNA from 1 species
UUGGAACAGGAUGUCAGAGAGGGUGAGAACCCCGUCUGUGGCCCGGUGGCCGAUCUGUAGCUCCUUCGACGAGUCGAGUUGUUUGGGAAUGCAGCUCUAAAUGGGUGGUAAAUCUCAUCUAAAGCUAAAUACUGGCCAGAGACCGAUAGCGCACAAGUAGAGUGAUCGAAAGAUGAAAAGCACUUUGGAAAGAGAGUCAAACAGCACGUGAAAUUGUUGAAAGGGAAGCGCUUGCCACCAGACCCGGGUAAGGCCGAUCCGCCGGGCCCUCUCGGCCCUGCCCGGGCCAGCAUCGGCUCGGGGGACGGGAGGAAGGUGUUGGGACUGUAGCUCCCUCAGUGGAGAAUAUUGCCCGACAUGUCACGCCGCCCCCCGGGUCGAGGCCCGCGCUCCGGCAAGGAUGCUGGCGUAAUGGUGGCCAGCGACCCGUCUUGAAACACGGACCAAGGAGUCUAACGUCUACGCGAGUGUUUGGGCGUCAACCCCGGGCGCGCAAUGAAAGUGAACGGAGGUGGGAGCCCUCGCACCAUCGACCGAUCCUGAUGUCUUCGGAUGGAUUUGAGUACGAGCGUAGCCGUUGGGACCCGAAAGAUGGUGAACUAUGCCUGAAUAGGGUGAAGCCAGAGGAAACUCUGGUGGAGGCUCGCAGCGGUUCUGACGUGCAAAUCGAUCGUCAAAUUUGGGUAUAGGGGCGCAAGACCAAUCGAACUAUCUAGUAGCUGGUUCCUGCCGAAGUUUCCCUCAGGA